CGGGGACCGGCCUCAGAGGGAGGAAAGCCCCUCUGCCUGCCUGUGGAACCAGGGCAAAGCCCCAGUGCCCACUCCUCCUGUCGCUGGAGGCCGUUCGCGGACGGCUGUCGUUCCAAAGACACUUCCUCCACCAGAACCCUGUUUCCCUCCCUCGCAGGUUUCUGGGACCUCGGAGGCCCCACCCUGGGUUCUCUGACCCCCAACCUCUGCUUUGCUCUGGUGGGACAGUCAUGUGCCCUGGACCAGAGUUGCGGGCGCCGCUGGCCCUGGCCGAGGGACUUCCUAGCCCCGUGGUCUCCUGUCCACGGGUCACAGUCACCUCCUGCCAUAGUAACCCUCCUGCCCGUGACCCAUCCUCAUUGUCCCGUGUCACCACCUGACAUCUUCCCAGUGUCUCUUCUGGAACCAGAGAUUUGCUGGCCCCUCUGGGCUUGGUUCUGAUAACUGAGAAGCCAGGGGUUCUGUGUGCCCAGCCGCCCGGCAGGGAGGUCCCUCGCCCUGUGUGUCUGUGGUUCUGCUGUCCCUGGCGAGGCAGAGCCUCCUGACAGAACAGCCCCAGCAAGACGGGCUGAGGGACUCAGGAGCACCCGCUUUCUUUCUGGUAGACGGCUUUGACCGUGCACGGACUUGUGACCCGUCCACUGUCCUGCAGACAUGGGCUGGGCUACUUGGGGCCUCGGCUGCUGUAGAGAGAAGAUGCCGUGCCCGUGCAGCCCCCGCCCUUUCUGUGUCCUGCAAGGACACCGCCCCGGGUGUGGGGAGUGCCAGGAAAGGGGACCGAGCCCGAGGCCCCUGGGGACGCACAAGCAUCGCCGGUGCGGCUCGUGCCGCGGAGGCGGUUCAGCACAGGCCCGCUCUGCCCGACUGCCCGCACUGCUCUCUCCCGGUUGUUUCAUUUACGAGGGUGUCACUGGGCAGUAACAUGCGCGUCGGGGAUGCCGCCCCCCACCCCGAGGCCCCGCGAGUGCAGAUGGGUUCGAGUGGAGCAGGGACAGCGCUGUUACGGGCAGGUGAGGAGCAGGGAGGCCGCCUGGUCGCCGGUCUCCCCGGGGUGUGGAACCGGGCACGUCUGGACAAGACGUCCGAGGAGGGGUGCUGCGGCAGUGCGGGCCCAGCAGCUCAGUGUGCCACGUGAUCUAGUCUGUACUCGAACCGGAGGAAUAAAAAGUGACCUCUGGUUUCCAGAAACUUGGGAACAAAACCAAAAUAACAAUGUGGUUUGUGUCUGUAGGGGGGUGGCCGGGGGCUCUGGAACCCACCGUCUGGGGUCCAGAGGGCCCUUCCACUGCUU
rnacentral:lncRNA from 1 species